UGUUUCAUGUGGGCGUGACCGCUAAUUAGACCAUCAGCGGCAGCUGUGAGUCAUUCCGGCUCACUAUUUAUUGCCCUGUCUCUCGUCUUGUGUUUGUCAGAUCGUUGUUGCAGUCUCCCAUGUGUGUGCCUGGUCUUUAGUUUGUUGUCUCCUGUUUCACCAUGGGAUCUUCACCUCCGUACUCACCUCAGGAUCGCCCGUCUCAGUCCCUGCGUCAUGGUCUCCUGCUGUCUGGUUCCGGACCCGAGUCUUGGCUAACGAUCUGACCAUUCAUGGAAGCAGCAAGCUCAACCUCGCUGGCGGAUUUCAUCCACCACAGCAUCUCUCGGAUGGAUAAGCAGCAGGAGAGCAUUACCAACACCGGAUGUGCAGUUCAAGCACUUGUGAUGCAGGUAUCUGAGCUCACCUAGUAGAUCCAACUACUUCGCAUUCCCGCUGUGCCGCCCACACCGACUGUUCCCCGCACCGUACCAGAGACGAGUCAGCGCUAAGAGCCCCGCCUACCCGUCCCCAAGAGUUCUGCCGGUGAGCCGAACUUCUGUAGAGCAUUCCUUACCAGAUGUUCUAUGAAUUUCUCAUUGCAGCCCUGAACAUUCGAGACAGAGGAGUCUAAGGUGGCUUUUGUCCUCACGCUGCUUUAGGGAUGGGCAGCCUUGUGGGAAACGGUGGUGUGGGAGAACCGGGACUCAUGUUGCGCCUCAUUCCACGCACUCACCACGGAGAUGAAGAGGGUCUUUGACCAAGCGGUAGCCGGCAAAGAGGCUGCCAGAAGACUCGCAGCUCUGAGACAGGGUGACUAUUCCGUGGCGGACUACUCGAUCGAAUUCCGCACGCUGGCAGCUGAGUGCAAGUGGAACGAGGAGGCGCAGUGGGAUAUGUACCUGCAUGGGAUGGCCGACCGUGUUCAGUGGGAUUUAUAUGCUGGAUUUACCACCUAGACUCAAUGGAUUAAUUGACUUGGCUCUACGGGUGGAUGCUCGCAUUAAUCAGUUGGAGCAACAUGCCCGAUCUACACGCACUCCCUGAAGCACUGGAGUUCGAGACCACAGGACUGAGAACACGGUCGGUCCCGACGUCGAUCACAAACCCAUGCAGGUGGGGAGAGCUCGGUUGUCCCGGGAGGAGAGAGAGGCGGAGGUCCCAGGGACUCUGUCUUUACUGUGGUGGCUUUGGACAUUUCUUACACUCUUGCCCGGUAAAAGAGCAGGCCCGGUAGUAAAGGUGAGGCUAGUAUCGGGUGGGAUCUCCGCCGGGAAGUCCUCAUCGUCUACUCUGCUUCCGGUGAGACUGAGAUGGGACAACGAAACCUACCCCUGUCAGGCACUCCUGAACUCUGGAGCGAAGGAUAAUUUUAUUGACGCACAUCCGACUCACCAGUUAAGACUCCCUAUCACGCUUCUCUCCCACCAGAUCUGUCAAUGUUCUCAAUGGUCAGGAGCUCCCCAACAUCACACACACUUACUGGUCCCAUAACCCUCAUCACCUCUGGCAAUCACACAGAGAGCCAUCCUUGGCUCGUGAGACAUAACCCUCGGGUGGAUUGGGGCUCUAACUCCGUCACUAUGUGGAGCGAGCACUGUCACGAGUCCUGUCUGGUGUCUGCUUGUUCGUCCAUGUCUGUUUCUGUGUUUCAGGAGAAGGCAGUGGUUCUGUCAAACAUGCCCGUGGAGUACCUGGACCUGAAGGAGGUGUUCAGUAAGUCUCGCGCUGCUUCUCUUCCUCCGCAUCAUCCCUAUGACUGUGCUAUAGAGUUAUUAUCAGGUAACAUCUCUUCUGAGGGAGUGCGCAUGGAUCCUGACAAGGUUAAGGCUGUGAUAGAUUGGUCAAGUCCAGAUUUCCGUAAGGCCCUACAGCGGUUUCUGGGAUUCGCCAACUUCUAUCUUAGUUUCAUUUGCAACUUCAGCCAACUAGCCGCACCUCUGACCGCCUUGACCUCCCCCAGAAUUACGUUCAGGUGGUCCGAAACAGCAGAGGCUGUUUUACCAACCUCAAGAGCCACUUCUUUUCGACCCCCAUCUUAGUCACCCCUGAUCCCACAUGUC
ensembl:lncRNA